rnacentral:lncRNA from 1 species
UACUAGCCUACUAGUAUCCAUGGGGAUCCAUAGGGGUCCCGCUACCCGUGAACCCUUAACACUUGUAAUCAGAUUCCAGUGCCGUCCCCAUACCCCGUCCGGUAUGUGUGCCAAAACUAUAAACCUCAAUACCUCGUCCGGUAUGAGGGUGAAACGGGCCGUCCCCAUACCCCAUCUGGUAUGGGCGCCAAAACACAUAAGGUCUCCAUACCCCGUCCGGUAUGAGAGACCACAAUCCCGGUAGGGUUCCCUAUGGACCCGGUCCGUCCACCAUCUCCCAGGAUAUCUAGUCAGGCUGACCACAUUAUACAAUUAUCAAUUUACAUAACCUU